AGUGAACGCUGGCGGUAGGCCUAACACAUGCAAGUCGAACGGCAGCACAGUAAGAGCUUGCUCUUACGGGUGGCGAGUGGCGGACGAGUGAGGAAUACAUCGGAAUCUACUUUUUCGUGGGGGAUAACGUAGGGAAACUUACGCUAAUACCGCAUACGACCUACGGGUGAAAGCAGGGGAUCUUCGGACCUUGCGCGAUUGAAUGAGCCGAUGUCGGAUUAGCUAGUUGGCGGGGUAAAGGCCCACCAAGGCGACGAUCCGUAGCUGGUCUGAGAGGAUGAUCAACCACACUGGAACUGAGACACGGUCCAGACUCCUACGGGAGGCAGCAGUGGGGAAUAUUGGACAAUGGGCGCAAGCCUGAUCCAGCCAUACCGCGUGGGUGAAGAAGGCCUUCGGGUUGUAAAGCCCUUUUGUUGGGAAAGAAAAGCAGCAGGUUAAUACCCCGCUGUUCUGACGGUACCCAAAGAAUAAGCACCGGCUAACUUCGUG
rnacentral:rRNA from 1 species